CCUACGGGUGGCAGCAGUGGGGGAUAUUGCACAAUGGGGGGAACCCUGAUGCAGCGACGCCGCGUGGGUGAAGAAGCGCCUCGGCGCGUAAAGCCCUGUCAGCAGGGAAGUAAAUGACGGUACCUGAAGCAGAAGCCCCGGCUAACUACGUGCCAGCAGCCGCGGGAAUACGUAGGGGGCAAGCGUUAUCCGGAUUUACUGGGUGUAAAGGGGUCGCAGACGGCGUUGCAAGCCAGGAGUGAAAGCCCGGGGCCCAACCCCGGGACUGCUCUUGGAACUGGGUGUCUGGAGUGCAGGAGGGGCAGGCGGAAUUCCUGGUGUAGCGGUGAAAUGCGUAGAUAUCAGGAGGAACACCGGUGGCGAAGGCGGCCUGCUGGACUGCAACUGACGUUGAGGCCCGAAAGCGUGGGGAGCAAACAGGAUUAGAUACCCUUGUAGUC
rnacentral:rRNA from 1 species